rnacentral:rRNA from 1 species
GACGAACGCUGGCGGCGCGCCUAACACAUGCAAGUCGAACGAGCGAGAGAGAGCUUGCUUUCUCAAGCGAGUGGCGAACGGGUGAGUAACGCGUGAGGAACCUGCCUCAAAGAGGGGGACAACAGUUGGAAACGACUGCUAAUACCGCAUAAGCCCACGACCCGGCAUCGGGUAGAGGGAAAAGGAGCAAUCCGCUUUGAGAUGGCCUCGCGUCCGAUUAGCUAGUUGGUGAGGUAGCGGCCCACCAAGGCGACGAUCGGUAGCCGGACUGAGAGGUUGAACGGCCACAUUGGGACUGAGACACGGCCCAGACUCCUACGGGAGGCAGCAGUGGGGAAUAUUGCACAAUGGGGGAAACCCUGAUGCAGCGACGCCGCGUGGAGGAAGAAGGUCUUCGGAUUGUAAACUCCUGUUGUUGAGGAAGAUAAUGACGGUACUCAACAAGGAAGUGACGGCUAACUACGUG